rnacentral:rRNA from 1 species
UGGUGGAGUGAUUUGUCUGGUUAAUUCCGUUAACGAACGAGACCUCGACCUGCUAAAUAGUUCGGCGAAGUCUUCGGACUUCGUGCGUGACUUCUUAGAGGGACUAUCGGUUCUCUAGCCGAUGGAGGUUCGAGGCAAUAACA